UACGGAGGGUGCGAGCGUUGUCCGGAAUCACUGGGCGUAAAGGGCGCGUAGGCGGCUCAUGAAGGCUGUGGUGAAAGUGCGGGGCUCAACCUCGGAUCGGCCGUGGCGACUCGUGGGCUGGAGCACUGUAGAGGCGGGUGGAAUUCCGGGUGUAGCGGUGGAAUGCGUAGAGAUCCGGAAGAACACCAGUGGCGAAGGCGGCCCGCUGGGCAGUGGCUGACGCUGAAGCGCGACAGCGUGGGGAGCAAACAGG
rnacentral:rRNA from 1 species